UACAACAUAGUAUUAAUGCACUGAAUCCCAUUAGAACUCCACAGUUAAGCACACUUAACCUAGAGUAGUAUUGGGAUGGGUGACCACUCGGAAAAUCCUAUUAUUUUAC
rnacentral:rRNA from 1 species